CAGUCGUGACACCGCAGAAAGCCAUCUGAGUCACUGCAAGUUCCCACACAUGGGGAGAAGAAACUCAGAUUUGGCCCCCACCUCUAGUUCCCCCCUUGUCUCCCCGAGACAGCCUGGGGUCAACCAAGAGUUUUCACCAGAAAUGCCAAACAUGAAUAUUCUGCCGUGAAAUGGAAGACGGCAUGGAAAUUUCUGAGCACAGAAAAUGGCAACCAAUUGGUGUGAGCUUUGUACUUCUCCUUCCUGCUCUCUAAGACAGAACGCAGUGACUGAAACCAAGAAGAGAGAGUCAUCAAUGAGAACAGGCCACUCUAUGAGUGCUACUUAGAGCUUUUCUCUACCACCACCAACCCCAAACAAGGAAGCCUCUGAAUCCCUGCUACAGAAACUCUGGAGGCACCUUAGUCUUACAGGGAAAUUGCCAGAACUGCCCUUCAAAACUCUGUAACUUCUUCCUCUCCAGAAAAAAGAUCAAGCAAGCAGAGGAGUUCUGAGGUUUAGUUGCUCAGUGAACUGAGGCCUGGGAAUCCUCACGUCAGCACAGAUUGACAAGUGCCUUCAGAAGGAUAAGCUGGAAGAAAAGAUAGAGUCCAUGCUCACACAUAGUUUAUGACAGUAUAUAUUGCUAGGAAUGUUUGAUUUUGUUCUCGCUGUUGUUUAUCUGUUUCUAAAGUAUGCAUUAAAGACAUAUUUAUAGCCGGGCGUUGGUGGCACACAGCUUUAAUCCCAGCACUCAGGAGGCAAAGACACAUGGAUCUCUGUGAGUUCGAGGCCAGCCUGACAUACAGAGU